rnacentral:tRNA from 1 species
AGCCCUUAUAGCUCAAUGGUAGAGUAUCUCCUUGGUAAGGAGAAGGUUAUGAGUUCAAUUCUCAUUAAGGGCUU